GAUGAAGAACGCAGCGAAAUGCGAUAAGUAAUGUGAAUUGCAGAAUUCAGUGAAUCAUCGAAUCUUUGAACGCACAUUGCGCCCGCCAGUAUUCUGGCGGGCAUGCCUGUCCGAGCGUCAUUUCAACCAUCAAGCCCCCGGGCUUGUGUUGGGGACCUGCGGCUGCCCGCAGGCCCUGAAAACCAGUGGCGGGCUCGCUGUCACACCGAGCGUAGUAGCAAUCACCUCGCUCAGGGCGUGCUGCGGGUUCCGGCCGUUAAACAGCCUUACAAAACACAAGGUUGACCUCGGAUCAGGUAGGAAGACCCGCUGAACUUAAGCAUAUCAAUAAGCGGAGGA
rnacentral:misc_RNA from 1 species